rnacentral:rRNA from 1 species
GACGAACGCUGGCGGCGUGCUUAACACAUGCAAGUCGAACGAAGUGGCGAACGGGUGAGUAACGCGUAAUCAACCUGCCCUUCAGAGGGGGACAACAGUUGGAAACGACUGCUAAUACCGCAUACUGAAGGAGGGGAUUGCGUCUGAUUAGCUCGUUGGAGGGGGAACGGCCCACCAAGGCGAUGGUCAGUAGCCGGUCUUGGGGGAUUGACGGCAACCUUGGGAAUGGGGCACAGCUCAGACUCCUACGGGAGGCAGCAGUGGGGAAUCUUCCGCAAUGGACGAAAGUCUGGCGGAGCAACGCCGCGUGAGUGAUGACGGCCUUCGGGUUUUAAAGCUCUGUUAAUCGGGACGCGGUACCGGAAUAGAAAGCCACGGCUAACUACGUGCCAGCAGCCGCGGUAAUUC